GGUUCCGUGGUCUAGUUGGUUAUGACAUUUCGUUAACACCGAAAAGGUCCCCGGUUCGAGCCCGGGCGGAAUCA
rnacentral:tRNA from 4 species